CACGAUUCGAAAAGCGUUAAGAUUUUCGUUUAGGGGUGUGCAAGCUUACCUUUCAUUCGAAUACGGAAUUGUAUAGAUAACGGCCUUUAACGUAGACGAGUCGACCCCCCAGGCAAAUCAAUGACUCGGGUAUGUGAGAUGUCAAGUUUGAAGACAGAAGAAGCGCUUGAAUUGAUUCUUUGUCUAAAACAAGGCGAGUGGAACUUUCCAGUCACUGACUGCAUCUUUUAUAAAAGGAAAAAAGUAUGUAACGAGAUAUAAACUAUUUGGAGGAUGUUCUAUAACCGCGUGACCUUCACACAGGUAUGUUCGGAUGCCUGGAGGUGUUACAGUUUUAUUCUGUUAUAAGGCAAAGGUGAACGCUGUCUUAGUACGAACCUUGGAAAAAAACAAACAACAAUGCUUCUGCAGUAACGGAGUCGACUAGAUCAACAACACACGUUCCACUUCGUGUGACUGAUAAGUUUCGGUCCAUUGUGAAUCAGAAGAACUGUCAUGUUUUCUGAAAAUUCCAAGUCUGGUAACAGCUGCAAAAUGACAAAAAAAAAAAAAA